UACAGAGGGUGCGAGCGUUGUUCGGAAUUAUUGGGCGUAAAGCGCUUGUAGGUGGUAUGUUAAGUUGACUGUGAAAGCCCUUGGCUCAACCAAGGAAGUGCAGUCGAUACUGGCAAACUUGAGUGCUGGAGAGGGUCGCGGAAUUCCCGGUGUAGAGGUGAAAUUCGUAGAUAUCGGGAGGAACACCAGUGGCGAAGGCGGCGACCUGGACAGACACUGACACUGAGACGCGAAAGCGUGGGGAGCAAACAGG
rnacentral:rRNA from 1 species